AUUGAACGCUGGCGGCAUGCUUUACACAUGCAAGUCGAACGGCAGCGCGGGCUUCGGCCUGGCGGCGAGUGGCGAACGGGUGAGUAAUGCAUCGGAACGUGCCCAGUAGGGGGGGAUAGCCCGGCGAAAGCCGGAUUAAUACCGCAUACGAGCUGAGGGUGAAAGCGGGGGACGGAAAGGCCUCGCGCUAUUGGAGCGGCCGAUGUCGGAUUAGCUAGCUGGUGGGGUAAAGGCUGACCAAGGCGACGAUCCGUAGCUGGUCUGAGAGGACGACCAGCCACACUGGGACUGAGACACGGCCCAGACUCCUACGGGAGGCAGCAGUGGGGAAUUUUGGACAAUGGUGGCAACCCUGAUCCAGCCAUGCCGCGUGCGAGAAGGAGGCCUUCGGGUUGUAAACCGGUUUUGUUCGGGAAGAAAUCCUCUGGGCUAAUACCCCGGGGGGGUGACGGUACCGGAAGAAUAAGCACCGGCUAACUACGUG
rnacentral:rRNA from 1 species